GAUUCUGGCUCAGGAUGAACGCUGGCGGCGUGCUUAACACAUGCAAGUCGAACGGAGUAUAUUUAAAAGCUUGCUUUGUUAUACUUAGUGGCGGACGGGUGAGUAACGCGUGGGUAACCUGCCUUAUACCGGGGGACAACAGUUGGAAACGACUGCUAAUACCGCAUAAGCGCACGAUGAGGCAUCUCGUUGUGUGAAAAAACUCCGGUGGUAUAAGAUGGACCCGCGUCUGAUUAGCCAGUUGGCGGUGUAACGGACCACCAAAGCGACGAUCAGUAGCCGGCCUGAGAGGGCAAACGGCCACAUUGGGACUGAGACACGGCCCAAACUCCUACGGGAGGCAGCAGUGGGGAAUAUUGCACAAUGGAGGAAACUCUGAUGCAGCGACGCCGCGUGAGUGAAGAAGUUAUUUCGGUAUAGUAAAGCUCUAUCAGCAAGGAAAAGAAAAUGACGGUACCUGACUAAGAACGCCCGGCUAACUACGUGCCAGCCGCGGC
rnacentral:rRNA from 1 species